AAAGUUAGUCUAGUCAAGAUA
rnacentral:tRNA from 1 species